rnacentral:rRNA from 1 species
UACGAAGGGUGCAAGCGUUACUCGGAAUUACUGGGCGUAAAGCGUGCGUAGGUGGUGAGUUAAGUCUGUCGUGAAAGCCCCGGGCUCAACCUGGGAAUGGCAAUGGAUACGUGGGUCGCUAGAGUGUGAUAGAGGAUGGUGGAAUUCCCGGUGUAGCGGUGAAAUGCGUAGAGAUGCGGAGGAACACCGAUGGCGAAGGCAGCCCCCUGGGCUAACACUGACGCUCAGGCACGAAAGCGUGGGGAGCAAACAGG